UACAGAGGGUGCGAGCGUUGUUCGGAAUUAUUGGGCGUAAAGGGCGCGCAGGCGGCUCAUUUUGUCAGGCGUGAAAGCCCCGGGCUUAACCUGGGAACUGCGUUUGAUACGGAUGGGCUAGAGUUCGGGAGAGGAGAGUGGAAUUCCCAGUGUAGAGGUGAAAUUCGUAGAUAUUGGGAAGAACACCGGUGGCGAAGGCGGCUCUCUGGACCGAGACUGACGCUGAGGCGCGAAAGCGUGGGGAGCAAACAGG
rnacentral:rRNA from 1 species